AGGACUGGCUGAGUCCCGAGGAGCCAGGCCCUGGGGCACAGGCCAAUGGGAUGGAACCCAGAUGAAAGCCCAGUGCUGGGACCCACGGCCCAUUCUCUGGCCUGGCUGAAGCCUGACGGCUUGUUCCUUGAAUGAAUCAGGAGGCCCAUCCAGAGCAAUUGUGAAGUUCACAUGAAAGAAGGAGCAUACGGAGAGAGAUGGGCCAUGUCACAUCCUGAAACGCCUUAUAUUCUAAGACCAUGAUAAUUAACACAGACCCUGGACAGUCACACGAUGGGAAAGAGUCCAGAAAGAGGCUCAAAUGCAAAUAUGAGAAGAGGCAGGUCAAAUCCAAGAGGAGAGAUGGAAUAUUCAACAAAUAAUCCCACAUAUACAAUCAACACUUGGCCUUAAGACAACGGAAUUGACAUAUGGAGGAAACAUUUGGAUUCCUACCUCACUCCUUGACGCUAAAACAAGUUCCAAGUGGAACUAAGAUUUAAAAAGUAAAAAUGAAACCAUAAAACUCCUAGAAGAAAGCAUGGAUGGCAAAAAACCAAUCUUUAGUCACUCUAAGAAUUAUACAAAACCCAGAAGCCAUAAAGUAAAAGAUGGGUAUAUUCAACCUCGUGAAAAUAAAAGGCAGAUGCAUGGAGAGAAAAAAACCACCAUAAAAUGAUAACCAACAAAGGGUAAAAACAUCGGCAACUCAGUUCACAAAGGGCCGUUUUUGGUUCUCAAUACAAAUCAGUAAGAAAAAGAGCAACAGCCCAAGAGAAAAAUGGGCAAAGGCAUGAAAGGAACCUCCCAUCACCCGCUGCUGACCUUCACUCAGAGUGAGAAACACGCAGAUCUAAGCUGCAGUGAGAUGCUGCCCCUCACCCACAGGGAUGGCAGCCGCAUCAGGCUGGGGGUUCCCUAGGGGGGCUGCUUAGGGGCUCCCACAGGUCUGGCUGUUGGAGGGCAGGGAGAGGCCUGCAGGUCUGGUGGGGCCGGGGUGAGGCACUCACAGAUACGUCUAGUGGGGGUGAGGAGGG
rnacentral:lncRNA from 10 species